AGCGAACGCUAGCGGCGGGCUUAACACAUGCAAGUCGAGCGGAGAGCUUCGGCUCUCAGCGGCGAACGGGUGAGUAACACGUAGGUCACGUACCCUUUGAUGGGGAAUAACCUAGGGAAACCUGGGCUAAUACCGCAUAUGUCCUUCGGGAUGAAAGCCUUCGGGCGUCAGAGGAUCGGCCUGCGGCCCAUUAUUUAAUCCUAGUUGGUAGGGUAAUGGCCUACCAAGGGUACGAUGGGUAGCUGGUCUGAGAGGAUGAUCAGCCACACUGGAACUGAGACACGGUUCAGACUCCUACGGGAGGCAGCAGUGGGGAAUAUUGGACAAUGGGGGCAACCCUGAUCCAGCCAUGCCGCGUGAGUGAAGAAGGCCUUCGGGUUGUAAAGCUCUUUCGGCCGGGAAGAAAUCGCAUAGGCUAAUACCCUGUGUGGAUGACGGUACCGGAAUAAGAAGCACCGGCUAACUACGUG
rnacentral:rRNA from 1 species